UUGUGUCCCUGUAAAAGCUGCUCUUUCAUAUGAAUGACAAAACAAGCCUUGAGUACAGUGUCCCUUUCAGAUCAAAUCACUGUUUGACAAUAAACAUUAGCAGCAUUUUGAGGGAUAACUGUG